CCUACGGGAGGCAGCAGUGGGUGAUAUUGCACAAUGGGGGAAACCCUGAUGCAGCGACGCCGCGUGCGUGAAGAAGUAUUUCGGUAUGUACAGCUCUAUCAGCAGGGAAGAAAAUGACAGUACCUGACCAAGACGCCCCGGCUCACUACGUGCCAGCAGCCGCGGUAAUACGUAGGGGGCAAGCGUUAUCCGGAUUUACUGGGUGUAAAGGGAGCGUAGACGGUUAUGUAAGUCUGGAGUGAAAGCCCGGGGCCCAACCCCGGGACUGCUUGGGAAACUGGUUAACUGGAGUGCAGGAGAGGCAGGCGGAAUUCCUGGUGUAGCGGUGAAAUGCGUAGAUAUCAGGAGGAACACCGGCGGCGAAGGCGGCCUGCUGGACUGAAACUGACGUUGAGGCUCGAAAGCGUGGGGAGCAAACAGGAUUAGAUACCCUAGUAGUC
rnacentral:rRNA from 1 species